AGGUUAGGUUUAGUUAAUUAGUUUCUCCUGGGGGCAGGCCUUAUUAAGAAGAUCAGAGUGCUCUGGUGUAUUUCAGAAUGAUUCUUUUCCCCUCCUCCUGCCGGAAGCCUGAAGAGGUUUUUCUCUGUUGUGUAGCAUGGGAACUGGGUUGUACUCCUGGAGGUAAAUCCCACAAUAUGGGAGAUCCUCCUCUGAUUAAGCCCCUCCUGAAGUUUUACCCUCUCAGAGUUGUCUUCAAGGAGCCUCCAGCAAUUCAUCAGUUACAGUUUUGGUUCUCUUACCCUGGCACUGGUUCCUGAGGCAGUUUCUGCUCCUGAGUCUCUGCUAUGGUGUCUUAUCAUUGUCUGCAUGCACAGACUGAAAACACUGUCCACUUCACACUGAAGUCAUGAAGAUUAAAUGAGGCAAUGGAUUUGACAUUGGUUCAGAAGACUCCAUUUGCCAGCACACUGUGAAUAAAGCCAUCUCUCUAGGACUGAUUCCCAGUCACUAAGCUCAAAGAGGUCAUAUGGAUGGGUACUCUCCCAUGCAGACAGACACAAGAACAGAAGUCAAAUCAAAACCAGAAGUCUAUUUGGCGAGUAUGGAAUUAAAAUGAGCAAAAUUAAUUCUGUUAGACAAAUCUUUUAGUCCAGCAAGUACUCAUGAAACCAUACCCACAGCAGAAUUUGUCUUGCCAAUAGAAAUACCACAAUUAAGUGCAUAGACACAAGACUACAAACUUUUAGACAGCUCUAGAUGGGCGCUGCCAAAAUAAGCAGAGGUAUCAAGAGUCAACAGCCAAGGAAAACGGAUAUAUACUUGAUGAUGCCAAUAAUGAGAAAUUUGCAAAAAAUAGUAUAACUCAAAAAGGGAGAUAAACACACUGACAGGAAGGCAAAAAUUUGAUUCAUUAAUUCUACAAUGUGGCCUCAACACAAGAAACACCCUUAUUUCAGCACUUAGGCAAAAAAAUCCUUCAAUGAGUCUGCAAUAUUGAUUGCAUGAUCCAGAAGAAAUAUUCUGGUUAUGGUAUACAUGAGAAUGGAAUCUUGAAGAUCUUAGAGUUUAUCAUAUUUGAGUGAAAAUAUGCCACUCAACUUUAAAAAUCCAGAGAGAAUAAAAGGCAUGUUAUGGAUAAGUCU